rnacentral:misc_RNA from 1 species
UGAUGCGGCUGUUAGCUGGCUUUUCGAAGCAUGUGCUCGUCCAUCAUCUUUAUAUCUCCACCUGUGCACCUUUUGUAGUCUUGAAUACCUCUCGAGGCAACUCGGAUUUUAGAAUUGCCGUGCUGUACAAGUCGGCUUUUCUAUCAUUUUCAAGAUUAUGUUUUCUUAUACACACCAAAGUAUGUUUAAAGAAUGUCAUCAAUAGGAACUUUUUUCCUAUAAAAACAUACAACUUUCAGCAACGGAUCUCUUGGCUCUCGCAUCGAUGAAGAACGCAGCGAAAUGCGAUAAGUAAUGUGAAUUGCAGAAUUCAGUGAAUCAUCGAAUCUUUGAACGCACCUUGCGCUCUUUGGUAUUCCGAGGAGCAUGCCUGUUUGAGUGUCAUUAAAUUCUCAACCUUUCCAGCUUUUAUUAGUUCGGUCAGGCUUGGAUGUGGGGGUUUGCAGGCUUCAUUGAGAUCUGCUCUCCUUAAAUGCAUUAGUGGAACUUUUGUGGACCGUCUAUUGGUGUGAUAAUUAUCUACACCGUGGAUGUAAAGCAGUUUUAUAAAGAUCAGCUUCUUACCGUCCUUUGACUUGGACAAUUUUGACAAUUGACCUCAAAUCA